CCUACGGGGGGCAGCAGUGAGGAAUAUUGGUCAAUGGGCGAGAGCCUGAACCAGCCAAGUCGCGUGAGGGAGUACUGCCCUAUGGGUUGUAAACCUCUUUUGUCGGGGAGCAAAAGCCGGACGUGUCCGGCUGUGAGAGUACCCGAAGAAAAAGCAUCGGCUAACUCCGUGCCAGCAGCCGCGGUAAUACGGAGGAUGCGAGCGUUAUCCGGAUUUAUUGGGGUUAAAGGGUGCGCAGGCGGAUUUUUAAGUCAGCGGUCAAAUCGUGGGGCUCAACCCCAUCCAGCCGUUGACACUGGGGAUCUAGAGUGUGCGAGAGGUAUGCGGAAUGCGUGGUGUAGCGGUGAAAUGCAUAGAGAUCACGCAGAACCCCGAUUGCGAAGGCAGCAUACCGGUGCACAACUGACGCUCAGGCACGAAAGCGUGGGUAUCGAACAGGAUUAGAUACCCCAGUAGUC
rnacentral:rRNA from 1 species